UACGUAGGUGGCAAGCGUUUGUCCGGAUUUACUGGGCGUAAAGAGCGCGCAGGCGGUCGUUCAAGUCGCGUGUGAAAGCCCCCGGCUCAACUGGGGAGGGUCACGCGAUACUGAUCGACUCGAAGGCAGGAGAGGGUAGUGGAAUUCCCGGUGUAGUGGUGAAAUGCGUAGAUAUCGGGAGGAACACCAGUGGCGAAGGCGGCUCACUGGCCCGGAACUGACGCUGAGGUACGAAAGCGUGGGGAGCAAACAGGGA
rnacentral:rRNA from 1 species